AGUGAACGCUGGCGGCAGGCCUAACACAUGCAAGUCGAACGGCAGCACAGAGGAGCUUGCUCCUUGGGUGGCGAGUGGCGGACGGGUGAGGAAUACAUCGGAAUCUGCCUAUUUGUGGGGGAUAACGUAGGGAAACUUACGCUAAUACCGCAUACGACCUACGGGUGAAAGCGGAGGACCUUCGGGCUUCGCGCAGAUAGAUGAGCCGAUGUCGGAUUAGCUAGUUGGCGGGGUAAAGGCCCACCAAGGCGACGAUCCGUAGCUGGUCUGAGAGGAUGAUCAGCCACACUGGAACUGAGACACGGUCCAGACUCCUACGGGAGGCAGCAGUGGGGAAUAUUGGACAAUGGGCGCAAGCCUGAUCCAGCCAUGCCGCGUGGGUGAAGAAGGCCUUCGGGUUGUAAAGCCCUUUUGUUGGGAAAGAAAAGCAGUCGGUUAAUACCCGAUUGUUCUGACGGUACCCAAAGAAUAAGCACCGGCUAACUUCGUGCCAGCCGCCGCCGUAAUAC
rnacentral:rRNA from 1 species